UAGUGGCGCUGGUGUUUAGACCCGACAGAUCGGUAUCCUGUGCCAAUCUUAUCUAUUCCCUUGACUGUGACCCUUAAUUCGUGUUCCAAAGGAGGAGAAUGAAAGUAUGGACCAGUCAGCUUCAUCGCUGCGCAUAUGUAAGGUGGAAUGCUGCUUGGAGGAUGAUGCAGUGGGUCAGACACAACCACAUCAGGACAGGAUGACACAACGGAAUGUGACCAGCUGAUCUGCUGCCAUCACUUCAGAGCCAACAAUAACUUUCUUCAUUUGUAUGAUUGCUUAUUCUAUGAAGGUUACCGAGUGCUUAAUCAAGAAUGGAACGCUGCAAAUGCAUUAAUUUUUCAGAUACUUUCUGUUACAUCUGUGGAGCUUUUACACCUGAAACCUUGAAAAAAUCUAUCACAAAAAAUGUUAAAAAGGCAUACAAACUAUACUUUAAAUGCCCUGUUGGUGAUCAAGACAAGAAAUGGGCACCUCACAUUGCAUGUAAACCCUGUGUGAAUCAUUUGAAUGAAUGGAUGCAUGGUAAAAGGCCUUUUGCUGUACCAAUCAAUGGUUUGGCGUGAACAAAAAGAUCAUUCUUCUGACUGCUACUUCUGCCUCACUAAUACCAAAGGUUAUUCUGUGAAAACUCAAUUUAAGAUUAAGUAUCCAGAUGUGCCAUCUGCUCACAGACCAGUUCCUCAUAGUCCUGAGUUACCAGUUCCCAAACCUCCAUUAGGUAGCCAAAGUGAGUGAGUGGUGAAUGCAUGGAUACUGACUUUCAAGAUGUAGAGAGAAAGGAACCCCAUCUUAUUAGUCAAGAAGAGUUGCAUGACCUUGUAAGACAAGAGUGAACUACUAGGAUCCAGACUCAAGCAAUGGAAUUUGCUGUAAGGAGGAGUUCACACUACCACUUUCCGCCAAAGGCAUGAGAAGCUCUCUCAGUAUUUCAAAAUGGAUGACAAACUUUGUUACUGCUAUGAUGUUGUGUCACUAAUGGAACAUCUUUGUAAGUCUCAUGCUUAUGAAAAAGAUGAGUGGAGGUUAUUUAUUGAUUCUGGAAAGGAUACAUUGAAGGCAGUUCUUCUCCACAAUGGUAAUGAAUUACCUUCUGUUCCAAUUGCUCACGCACAUGGAAUGAGUGAAAGUUAUGAAACUAUGAAGACACUGUUGUCUGCAGUUGACUGUAAGAUCCAUCAAUGGAACAUCUGUGGAGACCUAAAGGUGAUCUCUUUGCUUCUUGGAUUGCAACAAGGCUACACAAAGCACAUGUGUUUCCUUUGUCUAUGGGAUAGCAGAUCAGACACUAAACAUUAUAUAAAGGGAAUGGCCAGAGACCAAAAGACUUAGUUGGGAAGUUUAACUGUCUUAACAAAAGUCUUGUUGACCCUGAAGAGGUGUUUUUAUCACCACUUCACUUGAAACUCGGAUUAAUGAAGAACUUUGUGAAAGCCAUGGAUCAAGAUGGUGAUGGUUUUCAUUAUUUGGUGACAAAGUUCAAAGGUAUUUUAUCUGAUGCUAAAGUAAAGGCAGGUGUUUUUAAUGGUCCCCAAAUUCGUCUUAUACUGAAUGACCAAGACUUUAGAAAUGCACUAUCAGAGUUAGAAAUGGCUGCUUGGGAUAGCUUUGUGGUUUUUACAAAGUCUUUUUUAGGAAAUUUUAGAGCUCCAAAUUAUGAAGAGCUUGUUGACGAACUGCUGAAGUUACCAAGAGUUUGGUGCUCGAAUGUCACUUAAGAUACAUUUCUUUCUUUCUCACCUGGAUUUCUUUCCAAAGAACCUGGGUGAAGUCAGCGAUGAGCAUGGAGAAAGAUUCCACCAGGAAAUUGCCAUCAUGGAAACUUGAUAUCAAGGUCAAUUCAAUCCGAAUAUGAUGGGUGACUAUUGUUGGACUUUACAGCGAGAAAGUGAUAGUUCCUCGUAAAGUUGAGAAAGUGAUAGUUCCUCAUACAAACGCAAAAGUCAAGUUCAAAAACACUUUUGAUAUGUAUUGUAUCAUUAAUUAUGGUUUGUUUGUGUCUAUUUUCAUAUCUUCAGUUUAUUAAAAUAAAAAUAUUAUUGGCCUAUAUGUAUACUUCUACCAAAAAGUAGGCUUAUGCUGUACUGGAACAAUGGUAGGUGACAGAGUUUU
rnacentral:lncRNA from 1 species